UGGGGAAUAUUGGGCAAUGGGCGCAAGCCUGACCCAGCAACGCCGCGUGAAGGAAGAAGGCUUUCGGGUUGUAAACUUCUUUUCUGAGGGACGAUAGUGACGGUACCUCAGGAAUAAGCCACGGCUAACUACGUGCCAGCAGCCGCGGUAAUACGGAAAGUCCGGGCGUUAUCCGGAUUUACUGGGUGUAAAGGGAGCGUAGACGGCGAUGCAAGUCUGGAGUGAAAACCCAGGGCUCAACUCUGGGAUUGCUUUGGAAACUGUAUAGCUGGAGUGCAGGAGAGGCAGGCGGAAUUCCUAGUGUAGCGGUGAAAUGCGUAGAUAUUAGGAGGAACACCAGUGGCGAAGGCGGCCUGCUGGACUGAGACUGACGUUGAGGCUCGAAGGCGUGGGGAGCAAACAGGAUUAGAUACC
rnacentral:rRNA from 1 species